rnacentral:lncRNA from 1 species
UGGCUAGAUCUUUGGGAUUAUUUUUUUUUCCCCUUCUUUCCCUCUCUCUCUUUCUGGAGGGUGUGUGUUGUCCCCUCGAAGUGAAGGAAUUUUGCUCCAAAGCGAGCUGGGACCGAAGACUCUAGGCUAAGUUCUCUCUCUAUGUAGAUGGUGUCAGGGAGCGAAGCUACUGACCGAGCUGCUGGGACAUGUAGCCUUUCAAAGUCAUCCAGGACUUCAGGAUCUCUUCUCUAGAGAGGUGUCCCCGUAUCCACUAAAACUGCUGUUUAAAUAUGGAAAAGCUCAGCCCCAGAAAAAGGUUACACCUGCUCUUUAUUGCUGAAACCCACUGGAACUUGCUCUGCUUCUUGGGUUGGCCAGUGAGCACUCCCAGAAACGCAGCUGAGUUCUACAUCAGACAUCCACCCACUUGUACACCGGAAGUGAGUGACCACUAUCUUCUGAAAACAUUGUGAGAUCCUUUGAUUAAGCCACCUGCUACUCAUUACCCGGGAGAAGACUUGAGUGA